rnacentral:tRNA from 1 species
GGUUCCAUAGCGUAGCGGGGAGCACACCUGCUUUACACGCAGAAGGUCCUGGGUUCGCGCCCCAGUGGAGCCA